AGACGAACGAUAAUCGGCUUGGACGACAUGCAAUAACCAAUUCUUUUUUGUAUUGGUUUAAGAAGAUCACUCAAAAUACCAAGCACCAGACCUGGAUAAGGAACAGAUCAGAAGUGCAGGGCUGCACUGUAAACUCAGUGAAGGCAGUCUGAGACACACGUUUGGUCUGGGAGCAGAGGACAGGUCUGACAUAUGAAGAGGUAUCCCUCAGAAGUGCACCUGAAGCUCAUUUGUUGAACCACAAUGUAAAGUCAAAAUCAAUGGAUUGAGUAAAGGAACAAGAG
rnacentral:lncRNA from 1 species